GCAGAUAUGGCGGAACUGGUAGACGCGCUGGUUUCAGGAACCAGUGAUGAACAGUCAUGAGGGUUCGAGUCCCUCUAUCUGCACCA
rnacentral:tRNA from 1 species